AAUGAACGUUGGCGGCGUGGAUUAGGCAUGCAAGUCGCGCGACAAGGAACCUUCGGGUUCUGGAGGAGCGGCAAACGGGGUAGUAAGGCAUCGGAACGUACCCUCUUGUUGGGAAUAGCCGCGGGAAACUGCGAGUAAUGCCCAAUAAUCCCUACGGGGCAAAGGUCCGCCGCAGGAGGAGCGGCCGAUGUGAUACCAGCUAGUUGGUGAGGUAAUGGCUCACCAAGGCUUAGACGUCUAGGGGGUGUGAGAGCAUGGCCCCCACCACUGGGACGUGAGAUACUGCCCACGACACCUACGGGU
rnacentral:rRNA from 1 species